AGCUGAGGAGCUGUUAGCAGUUGCUAUCUUCUGUGGAUUCGGCACUUUUCUUUUUGACUGUGGCCCUGUCUCUCCCCAGCAGAGUAUGCGCCCCUUCAGCCAUAAGCCACAGCUUUACCGUGGAGGAUAACCUAACCGAUCUGUGUCCUUGGUACCUGGCACACAUAGAUCUUAUUAUGAUGCCAUUCCUGGCCUUGAUUUUACAGACCCCUGCCUGCCUCUGCCUCA